GAAGCCUCCCCGCUCCCGCCCCCAGUGAAGCGGGGUGUCCACCCCUGCAAAGAGAAAUAACACGGUGGAGGGGCGUGUGUCCGCGCAGCUCGGAGCAGCCCAGUCCGCGCCGCGGGGCCAGCCCGACCAGGAGCUGAGGGGUGCAGGUGCGCCGGAGGAUUUCAGGGACGGCAGCAAGUGGCAGUGUGGCUCUCCUCGAGGUGCCUGGGCGGCAAUCCGGAGUGGCUCCGGAUUCAUCCCACCCCCUCCACCGUCCUGGCAAGGGCAGCUGGAGCAGGCUUGGCCCCGGGAGAGGGUCUUGUGGGGAGUGAGGUGAGGGGGCACAGGCCCCGGGCAGGUGAGAUCCGUCUGCCCGGGCCCUGGCCGCAGCGCGGGGGCGCGGGUCAGGCCAGGCGCUCCCAGCCCGCCCUUCCCCUCAGCCCAGCCGGGGCAUCCCCGGGGCAGGGGCGGGGGCCGCCAGCUGUCCCUGAUCCGGGGUCCGCGCUCCCUUCACAAUGCAGGGGCCUCUCUGCAGCGUCUCUGCUGUGUAAUUAGCUCCCAUUAAACCUCGCCCUGGUUGUUACCCGCUCCCCAUCCACCUCCGCCCCGAUCAGCCUCCCGAAUAGCCAGGGCUCCGCUCCGCAGCCUUUCCGUUUCUCCCGUGUCAUCGCGCCCGGCUCCGGCUACCCCGGGCCCCGCACAUCGGCAGCUCACGCAGCGCCCGGGCCAGGCCGGGCUGGGGGGCUCCAUCUGGGCCUGCUCGUUUGUCCGCCGCUGCCUCAGUUUAACUUCCCCCGCCCCCCCAACCCCUGCCCGUCCUGCGCAAUCCGCGCUCACACCCUGGGCAGUUUCACGCUCCCCCCGGGCAGGGGCAGGGCCCCCCAGGCACGUUGCUGUCCCUCUGUACAGCUGCGUGCGGUGCAGCAGACCCGCCUCCCAGGCGGCCGGGACCCGGCUCUCAUCGGACCAAGCCAGGCUGCCCCGCGGCCACGCCAGGCGCUCCGGGCAGCGGCUCCCACGUGCUGGCCCGGGAUGCCUCCGAAGCCGCUGCAGAAACUCCCCGGCCGGCCGCGCAGUCAGGUAGGGAUCAGCGCGAUCCCUUGCAAGCGGCAUCACAGCGACCCCCCGCCGACACGCCCGGCUCUAACCCCGCGCCUCAAACGUUUGCCGGGGUCGCGCCUGGCACCAGACCCCGGGCCUUUCACUCGUCGCGGGGAUCCUUCUCAAGUCGGUUGCACUUUUGGCACGGCCGAGGCGCGGCUCGUGCAGCUGAUCUGCCCUUCGUGAUGGAUCUGGUGCCAAGGACCCGGAGCUAGGAGCCCAGCUGCAGGUCCCAUCUUGCAAAGAGAGGAAAAACGUAUUUCUCUGAGGAGCCCAGAUUCUGCAACGCUGGAAGCGGAGGGGAUGAGAAUCUGGAAUGCUGGGUUGUCUUUAAGUAAAGUGUUUUCUCUCUAAGCCCUGCAAGGCCCGGUGCUUUUGCACGCUUUCUUCAGUAGCUUCUGUAUACUCAGAUACACAGCCAGCUCGUUUCAUCUGCAAGAUGGGCUCAGACUGAAAGAUUCCAGUUUCAAACCCGCGGGCAGGGGUGGAUCCUGAGGGAGCACAGUGGUGCAGUCACACCCUCCUUCCAGACCAUGCCCUGUGAGCAGUGGCCAAGGACUUAAAUUUUAAGUCCCCAAAGCAGGUAAGUAUCCCCCUCCCUUCUCCUCCAUGCUGCUGGCACCAACCCUUCCCUCCCAUUCUCCUCUCCCACCCCGCAUUGCCGCUGCCCAUUGGCUAACCCAAGGGCUAGGGGAGAUAUAGAGCCACAGUUCCCUCUGGGCUGUGCAGAUAGCUGGGCUCAGCUGAGGACAGUGGUAGCAGUGGUGGCAGCAGACUGGUCCCCUCUCCCUGCCUGGUCUAUCCAGGUGUUCCCUGGCAGUCAAGGAGCAGGCUUAAGGAAGGGGAACCUGUCGUCCCCCAGCACCACAACUUUGCCCAGCUCUCUGUGCACCCCAGCUGGAGCAGGGCAAGAGCUGCUCUGGAGCUCCCCCCAGCCCUGGGUCAGACAGGGUAGUGGAGGUGCUGCUGAACCCAAAGGAGAAAAGAGGUGCUGCCAAGAGUGGGACCCUAUUGGUGAUGGGGGCCCUACAUACUGUUGUAAUACAAAGGAGAACAGUAAUGAACAAAUCGCUUUCCCCACUGUACAUCUCUUUAUGUUGCCUCUUGUCUGCUUUAGGCUGGAAGCCCUCUGGGGCAGCGGCCUGCUCUUUAUUCUGGGUUUGUGCUGUUUGUAACUAGGGAGCUCAGGGAGUGCCCUAUACGAGUACAUAAUAACCAUGGUGAUAGUAUCCUUGUGGGGUAUUAGAUUUAUGCUCUGCACAAAGCAUCUUCUCUGUGCUGGGAGCCUUUGCCUAAAGGGCAGGGUUAGUCUGGGGAGUAGUUUCCAAAGGGAAACUACGCCAUGAGCCAUUCCUUACAGGACACUAAGCUGGAGAGUGUACCCUGUAAGGAACAUCUACAGCAGCCAAAGACCAGAGAGAAAGUGACCGCUCUGGAGAGGGGGCUGCGGGGGAAAGAUCCUGGUACUUCCCUCAGGGGUUUAGAGAGCAUUGUCUCAGCUUUUCCCUGCAGCAUUGUUUUGAAAUCCAUUUUCCUUAUGUCUGUGGUCCCCCACCCCUGGUGUGUGGGUUUUCAGCUCUCCCUAGACUGUAACUAGUGGCAUGUGCUGCUUAGAUCCCAUUUUCCCCCACAAGCUAAUUGCAUCUUUCUCAUGGAAUAGGUUGACUUCAGGAGACCACUUGCCCAACUCCGACUUUUGACAUGUGACAAGAGACCCCGAGUGGCGUCUCUGGUGGAGGAUUUCUGCGUUUGGGUUGAAAAACUGGAAACAGAUGAAGGCUGUCUCUCUCACCCCUGUUUUUGGCCAUCACCCCCAAUGCUCAGUUGUGAGAGAUUUAUGAGAUUCUUGGAUAGAAAUGAGUGUAUAACAUGGUUGAUUUCCUGCAACCAUUUUUCCCCCCUGGCUCUCCUCUCUUGUGCUGGCUGUGUUUCCAUUUAUCUCAGGCUGUUUUUGCUGGAAGACAAUAGGUCCAGAGAGUUGACCUUGUCUCCACCUCUGUAGCAUCUGGAAGCCUUGCAAACAGAAAUGAAUUUGUCUUCCAACCUCCCCCCCUCCACCCGGCAAGACUGGAAAGGUCUAUUUUAUUGGCAUUAGGUGUAUAAAUACAGAGGCAUCACUGGCCAAUACUGCAGAGGGGCACACAGCAGGAUAGCCACUGGAGGUUGGCUGCUACCGGGGAAGAUGUCACCUUUUUUUGCUGCCAUGUUGCAGGUUGAGUGGCCAUUUCAACACUGUUUUUUGCAGCAAAAUAAUGAGGCAAGAUCUCUCACAGCUGCUUCUGCACCAUGUGACCCUACUGCUGCUCUGUCCCCCAACCACCUGCUGCCAGAGCUGGAGCUGAUACAGGGAAGGUAUUGGGUACAUGGGAGGAGGGGGCAGGAGCGGGAGGUGUCCCCUAGCUCUAUUCUGGUGCCCCCCACCUUAGUUAGCAUGCAGGGCUUGUUCACCCACACAUUGCUAAGCUACUGCCUAAAUAUCGUCUAAGGCCCUUUAGCUAAGUGACUUGCCCAAGGUCACACUGGCAUGCUGUGGCAGAAGGUACAAUUGCAGUUUGGUCUUCGGGGUCCAAAGGCAGCAUCCUAACCACCAGGUCAUCCUCCGUCUAGUAUCAGUUGUGAUUCUGGUCAUCAGGUGCUGCUAGGCUGAGCUUUUCCAACUCACUUUUGGGAUUUAGAUUCACUGCACUCAUGGAUUCUGAUGGGAAUGGCAUGUCUAGUCCCCGACAUGGCUACAGAAAAGCUCUGCCGUAAAGCUGCAGCUUUGCUCUAAGUUGCUCACCCAGCAAGUGUUCCCUUGACACAUUUUUCCGAUUUGUACAAACUGCUGUGGUUUCCAGUCUGUAACAUUGUCACCGGCUCCGACCUCUGCAAGGCAUUAAGUGCUAAUUGUAUUCCCAAAAGGCUUGGCUCCCCUGAUGGGCUGUAAUGUUCAGCAGGUUUCAAGCCAUUAAAGAUGGUGUGAGCCCCUUCAUUGUGAAUGUGAGUCAUUCCAGUCCCAGUGAAUAACUUCUCCCCCUUGCUUGGAGCUUUUUGGCCCAAUCGGAGCAUGGGACUGCUGGGGAGCAGGCUGGAAAUGGUCCUCUAUGCAUUCCCAUGUGCCUGGUGGAGUUUUGCAGAAAGCUCAGGUCUUUUCUGUGCCAUGGAUUGGUUUGCUCUGGAGGGCAGGUGACUCUUGGGAUGUUUUCCUUCAACUUUACAAAAAUUGACCCAUUCUUCUAGUGCAAAUCUGAAAGGUUCCUAGCCUUGGGAUCCUCUGCCUCUUGGAGCAAACCAAAGGCACUGGGAAAACUCUGGAGAUCGUUUUAUGGUGUUUCCAGCCAUUGGUCCCCUUCUUGGACAAGGGUCUGUGGCUGCAUGGAUAGAAACUGACCUAGAAAAUUUUCAGAGCUCAAGAGUUCACUGGGGCUUGGCCCAUACAGUCACCAUGAUCCAUCACUUGCCCCCUUCCAUCCUGGGGGAUUGGGAUGUCUUAAUGCAGCCAUUCCCAGCCUGUGGCUCUCAGACCUUGUUCACAGCCACAGGAAUCUAGAUAUGAGGCUAAUGGGAAGAGCAAAGUCUGAUGCAGCCCAUAUGUGGGUGACUUACUUAGUAUUAUUAUUAUGGACCAUUCAAGGUGGUCAUUCUUUUUCCAUCUCCCCGGCUCUGAAGUGCACAGGCCAACAGUGAUGGGAACAGCAACCUAGCCAUGGACUGGAAAGCAGACCUCCUCUCUUCUGAGCGCUAGGGGAUCCAUCCUGUUCUCUGGCAGGGCAACUUCUUCCCCACUACAAAUGCACUGGGGUUACGGCAUCUUUCACACUCUGGGGCUGUGUCUGGUUCCAGCCUGCUGAUCAGAACUCCUCAAGGCAUCAGCCAACCUGGAUUCCCACCUCCGUGCACCACCUCCUGAGCCCCUCCUGGAGCAUAUGUGUUCUUGGCAGACUGGAUGCCAGUAAGCCGUUGAUUCCCUAAGAUGGUUAGCAAACAGUUUCUGCCAUAGAUUGAGACACUGCAGUCUUCUUGGAAAACACCAGGGAAGGCAGAAGCAGAGCAGCCCACACGCCUGGCCCCCAGCAGUGUGAUGCAAGCAACUGGGCUUGGCAUGAUGCAGUUGCACAGGAAACAUGCACUCUCCUAGCACAGCUGCUUCAUGGCAAAACCUCAGCCCUGUGAGAGACUUCAUGCCUUAGCUCUGAGCUCACCAGAACCACUGCCAUUCCAUAGCCUUGGCCGGGUUCUUGAGUGCGGUGCUCUGCUCCCUAUUCACAUGAGACAUAAUAUGCCUGUACAGGGGGGACAGGGAUGGCAAAUGUUUAACCAGAGGGACUUUGCUGGGCGACCCGGAGAGGCUGUAUGGCCUAUUGUUUAGGGCAAGUGUGUCAAAACAUAUGGACUACGGGUCAAACCUGGCUUUCAGAGGUGAGUCGUCUACCCCACAAGGCUUCUUGCAGGACAGCCCACAGGGUCUGAUUUCCCUCACUUUCUGGGAGUCCUCUGGGGCUGGCGCUGUCCCUCACACUAAAUGUGGUGCAAUACUUGACACAACAGGGCACUGCUUUCCAUGAGCCCCUCAGCUGCUGCUAGAACGCAGAUAGCAGGGUCACUACACGGGUCAUCCAGAGACCCCGGGCUACAGGGAACUGGGAUAAAAAAGGGCAGAGGCCCUUACUCCUGAGCAGCAGAACACAGUGCUGCUAGGCAGGUGUGCCCAAAUGGUGGAUCUCCAGUCAGCAAGGUGGGGGGAGUUCUAGGUGAAGGUUUAUGGCAGGGAAUAAUUAAUUUCUACUGUGCUGUCUGGGUUUGAGGAGCCGAUGGCGGGGCAUGGAAUCCACAGCCCUGCCCCAUUCCCCCAUGUGUUUCAUAUUUACAAUUACAGCAAAGGGGCCAAGCCCUACUCUAUGUACCAUACCUGCAAGCUGGUGCUGUCACCGGCAGUCUGGGGUCUCAAGGACAUGACCUGAUCCCUGGGGUUAGAGAUGUCCCUUAUCCAGUGGCCUCCCUGGCACAGGACCAAAUGACCAGGAAUACAACAUCCGAAGUUAACUCAUCUGCAACUCUACCAACUUUGUAUACACCCUCACCCAUUUACAAUGCCUGUCAUCUCUCCUCAGCCAGACUGGUCGAUCUCUGCGUGCAAGGAUGGAUGAACACGGAUCUGGUAUCAGCUGCAGAAAGACACAAAGGCCUGUGUCAGGAGGCCACGUGAACCUCCCUGAACACUCCAUCACUGACCUUGGGAUUGCUCUUUACAGGCAGCAACAUUUUAAAAGACAGUUUGACUUGGAAACUGGGGAUCAAGACAUCACCGACAGGCUGGACUGUGUUAACCAUGAUCUAAACAGGGACUAUGGGUUCCUAUCCCAUUACCUGGAUUAGCUUUUGUGACCACUUUAUUCCUAUGGCUUCUUUGCUUGUUUCUCCCAGCAUUGUCCAUUUUUCUGCUCCACUCUCCCUCGGUCUUCCUGCCCCUCACUUCUCUUUUCUCACCUUUUGUAUUUAAACCACUCACUCUGCUUUAUACCCUGCUCUAUGCUGCCCUUUCACAGCAGCUUAUGGAGUGAACUGGAAUUCCCAAAAGCUUGUGCUCUCUAUAUAUCUUAUUUAGUUAGUCUAUAAGGUGCAAAUCUACCCGCCUCCUGCCUGACUUCAGACUAACAAAGCUAACUACGUCUCUGCUCCCCUGCUUGGACCACUUGGCUCAAGUAAGGAGGGGUCUUCCAGUGGACUGGAUCCAUCCUGAGACCUGAUGCGGCAGUCCGCAGUCAUGAGGACAUCUAAUAGAGCCAUGAGUCUCAGGCUAGUGGCCUCUUUUGUGGUAAGUGCCUGUCUUGGCUCUGGUCUAGAAUAGCUGGAAUGGAGGGUGCAGGCUGGGGCUGAGGUACAUUGCAGAGCCCAGGGUGUCCUGGGGGUUAGGGAUCCUGCUGCAUUGGCAAAGCUGGUGUAGGGAGCCCUGAGUUGGGAUAGAAGGAAGCAAUGCAAGCCAGACUUGAGGUACACUGCAAAGCUAUGGUGGGGAGGCCAGGGUUAGAACUGGAAUGCCCUGCAAGGCAGGACUGUGGCUGGGAAAGCUUGUACAGGUCCUUUCUGCACGGUCCUGAUUGGCCAGGGUCAUUUUGCAGUUGCCAAGACUUGCCAGAUGUGUUGGGACCAUCACAGCCCCCAGGACAAGGUUAGGUUCAAGCCAAGGGGCACUGGGAAUAGCUGAACCACAGAUGGUAUUCAGGGUCCUGCCUGGACAGAGAUGUGGGUUGCCUAGGAUUUCCCUCUUGGUCCAGACAAAUCAGGUGGCACAAGGAUUUUUCUCCAGCUCCUGUGCGGCCUCUGGGCUCCCCACUCAGGGGCAGUCUCUCAGAGGGGUUAGAGAGCUUGUCCUGCGAGCCAGGUUACUGCCCUACCUUCACAACACAAAUACCCUGUCCCCAGGCAGGAUGGCAGGGUGUAAGGUUGCAGAUGGAAGAACAUUACACCGGUGGUGUUACUUGAGUAGCACAGCACCUGUCUAUUCAGGCUCUUUCACUGCCCCUAUGUCCAGGGUGUCCACAUACUGUGGCAUAAGGAUGGAGGAUGGGGCAGAGGUGGGAGGCUGCUGAAAUCCUGCUUGCUCACAGCUCCUCUCCAACUUGAGCAGGGCUCCUGCAGCUGCCUUCAGGUCUUUUGCAGCUGCCGUGAUGCACCCAGCAUUUGCACACAAUGGAGAGGCAUGGGAUUGCUUUUUUUGAGUUCCUGACAUGCUUUUAACUCCAGGCAGUGCUGCCUGGGCGGCUUCCUCACUCAACCCUCCCGCCUCCCUUUCUCUUUCCCUCUCUCUCUCUCUCUUUUUUUGCUGGCAACCUCGCCCUAAUAAAAUGCAGUGUCUCCACUGUGUCUGCCUGCCUGCCGGCGUGUGGAUCAUAUUUGCACGCAGCCCUUAAACCAAACUGCUCCAGAGAACCCAAGGGGUGGCUUCUUGGCUUAACCCCUUGCGGUCUGCACUUUCCAAAACCAGGGCCAGCUUGGAGCUUUUGGGAGAAAAAGCAGUAUGGUGCAGUUUGUGUUUGGCUUGGAAGGACAGAGGUACGAAGUGGUUGCAUCGUGGUCGUCCAGAGCUUUUUUCUCUCAGUGGAUCUUACUUGGUUUGUAUGUCCCAAGCGUAACUCGUCUCCUUACCCAGCCUCAUUCUCUAGGUCUGCUCCUUGCAGAAAUAAAAGGAUGCAAAGGAUAGGGAAACACAAAAGCAGAGAAGCAGAAAUAGCUUCUUCAGUGUCCCAUCAGAGCUCAGUCAGCUUCCAGGCUGCUCGGAGAUUAAUAGGUGUGGUCACUGGGGAAAGGAGCUCCUAAGAAGAAGCAGUAUGUGUUCCAAAAAGCUGGGAAAAUCCCCUUUUUUAUAGCUGCAGCACAGAGAACAAUAGCCAGCCUAAUGUAGCCAUGGGUUGAGAUGGGAAAGCUGAGGUAAAGGAGAAGAUAGCAUCAGUGGAAGCAGGUGGACAGAUGGCAGAGUCUAAAGGAAAGGCAGGCAGGAAAGCAGCACUACAAUCUACUGGAAGGAAGAGUGGGGAAGACCAGUUUGGCUCCGGGUUGACUGUGUGCUGUUGUGAGGCAGGCUCUGACUACUUGAGCUGUAGCAUUUCCUGGGGUGCUGUGCAGGGGUGACCUGCAGGGUGUGUUGCCAGCCAUAAGCAAGUGAAGGAUCACCCUGCAACAGAUGGAAGAGAAGUUUCUGUAGAAGCCACCUAUAUUGUCAGGUGAGAUGCACGGGUGCCCAGCACAGCCAGCUGCUCCCUGGCCCCAUAGCUUGACAUUACGUGCACCACGUUCUGACUGGCUCCAGGAGAGGGAGGGUGAUGGGUGCAGGUAACCAUCAAAGUCACAGUUUUGCCAGUGCUGAAAGCAUUUUCCAAGCGUAUGCAGAGCUGGCCAAGGCGGGAGACACAGCUGGUUGGUAGCCAGCGCAGCGACUUGUGCUGUUUGUUGUUCACGCAGGGAGGCAUCAGGGCAGAAGGGGCAUGCUUCUGUGUGGGGCAAAGCAGAGGGUUGGCUUGCUCAAAGCUGCUGGGGCUGAACAAAACAAACAUGGAUAUCUAGAGGCUGCCAGGUGGCUGAGGGGAAAGGCUGGUUCUGUUCCUAGUUCUGCUGCUGACCUGCCAUGUGACCCUUGGGCACAUCACGUCAUCUCCCUCACCCUGUACCCCUUCCACCACACACACGAACCAGUUUAUAAGCAUUCCCUCUCUUUCUGUCUCUCUUUCCUUCUAGGUAUCUGGGCUGCACCUGGCACCACAGGGCCCUGACCCUGGUGCGGGUGCUAGAUGCUACUAACCCAGCUGGGCUGCGGAAGGGGGUAUGCAACUGUGAAGAUCUAGUAGGAGAUGCCGGAAAUUCCCUGGUUUCUCUUCAGAGCAUCAUGGCCUAGUGAAUAGAUCCCUAGCCUGGUUCAUGGGAGACUUGGAUUCAGUCCUCAGUUUUGCUACUGACCUCCUGGGUGACCCUGGACAAAUCACUCUCCUGCUCCGUGCCACAGUUUCUUCAUCUGUACAAUGACGAUGAUAAUGGUGACCACCUUAAAAAUGACUUUGCUCCAAAGAUUUCAGCAGGAGAGAGCUGGAUAUUGUCACCAUUACUCCAAAGACUUUAAAGAACUUGGUUUCCAUGCCUGUGUUUAACUCCCACUGAAGUCAAGGUGCCUCAACUAUAGUGUGGUUCACUACAGUCAAGUCAUGGCUUCUUCCCAUACUUAUGUGGCUCAGCAUCUCAGGGCAGCAAACCUGGGCAUACCCAUCUAGGAAGACAGGGGCAGGCACUUUUCCUGCCCUGUGCCCCAACUCCACAUGCACUAGGCUAAAUUUCUGAGCUGCCACAGGGGGUUGCAGCAUAAUUUGGCUGCCUUUGUCUGGACACAGGAUGAGAAGAUCCCACAUCACAGUAUGGAGAAUAUGCAACAGGGCAGGGAAGGUUUUUUUGAGAGGCUGGGACUUAAAAAAGCAAAAUGCAGUCUGUGAUGCCCUCUAGGAUAGUGUUUCUCAAGCUGUGGGUCACAGCCCAAAAGUAGGUCACAAGAAUAUAUGAAAGGGUCUAGAACAAACUUUAAAAAUAGAUUCUAGGAGAAAAAAGUGGAAAAUGGUGGCUGUGUCCUUGCAGGCUAGCAGAGGUCCAGCCUGCAAGGGGCUGCUUGUGGCCCCCCAUACCUCCCCCCACUCCACACACGGGAUCUGGGGCCUGGGUAUGGGGGACAGUGGGUCAGGAAUGAGGGGCACUGGGUCUGGACUGGCCAUUGAUGUUUACAAAUGGGUCCUGGUACAAAAAAGGUUGAGAAAAAUUGCUCUAGUAAGCUAAUGUAGUAGUCAGACCCAGCCAUAACCUUUUCAUCCAUGCACAGAAUUCGCAUACAAGUAAAAAGCUGGUUGGAGAAAAGAUUUAAACUCCUCUGAAACUGACUGGGAUUCCCAUGCCUUUCUCAAGCCUCCAUGCAAAUGCAAGUGGUCUGGUCCUGCUAGAUUAGGAAAGGCUGAUGAACCCAGUUAGCUAGCACCUGUGUGGAUUAGCAAAUUGCCUCCAUGUCACUGCUCUCAGGGACCCUGGCAAGGUGAGAAGGAAACUAGGAAAGCAGCACAGCCAACCUGCAAAGCACUCAGAGACCCAAACUGUCAUGAACUUUGGGUUAAAAGUCAUGAGAUGGGCAACACAUGCUUCAGGGGCUCUUAUUAUUCACUGUCUGGCUUUGAACUGGUUCAGGGCAUCCCCUUUUCCACAUAGCCACCAGAGCUGGAAAUGUACUCUUUUGUUGCUGAAGGAUAGCUGUGAUUGCUAGUCUUCCUAGGAAUACAGCAGCUGUGGUUCAAAGAAACAUACUGCAAGAUCAAUAAUAAAAUCACCACAUCUGACAACUCUGCAAAAGGCUCUAGCCUGGCCUUCAUAUAGCCUGUGGCCAGGGGUCCAGCCAACUGUGCAUGGAGAAGAAGCUAUCUAAGAAACUGGCCCCAGGUGCCCUGGCCUGGUGGUGUGAAAUUGGAUGGCUUCCAAGAACAAACAACUGCUUUGGACUAUUUAGGCCAUGACUCCUGCAGCUCAGAGAGCUGAUCUUGCAACUGAUGGGUGUCUUUGGAAACACAUCAUUCACGUGCAGCAGAGAGCCAGGUCCAUGCAUUUGGAUGCAGCCCCCUUGAUUUCCGCUUGGCUCAGCAUGACAGACAAGAGGGUUACCUUCUUGGGGGCAUUUUCUGUAAUGUGAUUCUAGACGUUCCAGCAUGAUAACGCCGGGUAAAUGUUAUCCCCUCUGUGAAGCUUACAGUGUAGCCCCCGGCUCCUGCAAACACACGCCAUGCACAUGUGCAACUUCCAACACACCGUCUUGCCUUCAUCCAAUGCUAAGUUAGACUCUAAGGUGCCACCCUGCCCUACUUUUUGCCUAAGCAUUGCCAGUGGAGUCAAAAGGGACCAUCCCAGCAUGUGAAGUGAUCCACACCACAUGCCUGAGCCACUGGAUCUAGGUCAGAUGCUUCUGUUGGGGGAAGCAGCUGUUCCCACACCCCUGUUUAAGAGUCUAGGAUGAAGGCACCAGCAGCUUAAGUGACUUGCCUGGGUUCACAUAGAGAGUCAGUGUCAGAGCUGGGGGUUGGAGUCCGUUUCCUAGCACCAUUAUCCAAAUGGUAGAGCCACAACUGGCUCUCCAGCUGUUGCUAAGCAGCCGUAGAUUGUAUCGAUGACUUCCUUUCAUGUGGCAGGAUUUCUUCCUUGCAUGACUCCAGCCAUGUGCACGGCUGCUCUUAAGAAGUCACCAUUCUCCCAUCACUCCCUGCUGGAACUUGUGGAGAAAGAGACGUGAAGAGAACAGGACAGAUUCCAGCAGUCGGAAACACAGGCGCCUUCCCAGGCUUGGUUUGCUGGAGGCGGCUGCCUCUCAAAGAAACACAAGGAGUUUCUGCUGGGCCGGCAGCUCAAAUGAGCAGAGAGCUGGGCUUGCGGGGAUGUAGCACCCACCAGUGGAGCCAGAUUUGCUGGAGGGACCUUAAUAAGGGCCAGAUUUUCUGAAAUGCUCAGCUCUUAUUGCAGCACUUACAAGCCAGUUUCCCAGCAAGCAUGACAAGCUGUGUUGUGACGGCUCUGGCAAGUCCAUUCUGGCAGCCAAAGGGCACCCAGGGCAUAGAUAAGCUAUCAAGGCCAGGGACUGGCCAUCAUCUUUCAGGGGAGGAGAGAACAGAGUGCC